CAAGAAAAAGUAAUARAGAGGGAAACAGCCCGGACCKCCGGCCAAGGCCCCAAAGCCAUGUURAGUGUAAAAUGAGGUGCGGAUGCGCAGACAGCCAGGAGGUUGGCUCAGAAGCAGCCAUUCCUUAAAAGAGUGCGUAACAGCUCACUGGUCGAGCAUCCGCGCGCAGACAAUGUAGCGGGGCUAAGCAUGGCGCCGAAGCCGCGGAUUCGCGCCUUAUGGCGCGACUGGUAGGGGAGCAUUCCGCUGACCCAUGAAGGCGCGCCCGCGAGGGGCGCUGGAGGAGGCGGAAGAGAGAAUGCAGGCAUAAGUAACGAAAAGACGGGUGCGAUCCCCGUCCGCCGGAAGCCCGAGGUUUCCAGGGUAAAGGCAAUCUGCCCUGGGUAAGCCGGCCCCUAAGGCGAGGGCGAAAGCCGUAGCCGAUGGGAAAUCGGUCCAUAGUCCGAUGCUUCCCCAUGUUUCGAGGGCAGGACGCAUGAGGCGAGGCCAGGCCGGAGAACGGUAGUUCCGGCCGGAGCGGCGAGGCGUCGAGGGCGGCAGGCAAAUCCACCGCCCGAGCCGAGCCGUGAGCGAGCGGAGAGAAAGUCGAAGCGAAGCUGGCGCAGCCAUGGUGCCGGGAAAUACUGUCUAAGUGCCAGGCAUGGGGGAACCGUACCGCAAACCGACACAGGUGGUGCAGGAUGAGAAAUCCGAGGCGCACGAGCGACCUCGCGUUAAGGAACUCGGCAAAAUGCUGCACGUAACUUCGGGAGAAGUGCGGCUCAUGUUAUAGAUGAUUAUUGAGCGGCAGAAAGCAGGCC
rnacentral:rRNA from 1 species